rnacentral:rRNA from 1 species
CCUACGGGCAGCAGUGGGGAAUAUUGGACAAUGGGGGCAACCCUGAUCCAGCCAUGCCGCGUGUGUGAAGAAGGCCCUCGGGUUGUAAAGCACUUUCAGUGAGGAAGAACGCCUGGUGGUUAAUACCCAUCAGGAAAGACAUCACUCACAGAAGAAGCACCGGCUAACUCCGUGCCAGCAGCCGCGGUAAUACGGAGGGUGCGAGCGUUAAUCGGAAUUACUGGGCGUAAAGCGCGCGUAGGUGGCUUGAUAAGCCGGUUGUGAAAGCCCCGGGCUCAACCUGGGAACGGCAUCCGGAACUGUCAAGCUAGAGUGCAGGAGAGGAAGGUAGAAUUCCCGGUGUAGCGGUGAAAUGCGUAGAGAUCGGGAGGAAUACCAGUGGCGAAGGCGGCCUUCUGGACUGACACUGACACUGAGGUGCGAAAGCGUGGGUAGCAAACAGGAUUAGAUACCCUAGUAGUC